rnacentral:rRNA from 1 species
UACGUAGGGCGCAAGCGUUGUCCGGAAUUAUUGGGCGUAAAGAGCUCGUAGGCGGUUUGUCGCGUCUGCUGUGAAAACCUAAGGCUCAACCUUGGGCUUGCAGUGGGUACGGGCAGACUAGAGUGCGGUAGGGGUGACUGGAAUUCCUGUGUAGCGGUGGAAUGCGCAGAUAUCAGGAGGAACACCGAUGGCGAAGGCAGGUCACUGGGCCGCAACUGACGCUGAGGAGCGAAAGCAUGGGGAGCGAACAGG